CCUCACCUGUGACCCCGUAGUUCUACAGAAAAGGGGUAAUUUUGGAAUAGCACAGAUUAAAGAAGGUGGCUAGAAAAGAGUGCUCAUGCUUCAAUUAACGUAUACAUUUACAGGCAUGUUGUUAUAACACGUGUUCACAGGUGCAUGAAAACUAAACUAAUGAGGUAAUGGGCUCUUGCCUGUGUUAACAUGCAUUUCUCACCAUGCAGGUAAUGGAAUCCCAUUCUGGGCCAUUAAGAACAGCUGGGGCGAGGACUACGGAGAGGAUGGCUAUUACUACCUCUACAGAGGGUCCAGGUUGUGUGGGAUAAACAAGAUGGGCUCCUCUGCUGUGGUGAACUAAACAGCAUCACUGGCUGGCCUCCAUAGAUAACUGCUGGCUAGCAAACAUACCCACUACCAACUCCAAAAUGAGCUACGUACAGCCUCCCUCCCGGGAGCAAUCAGGAAUUUAGGAAUUCAGACACUAGUGGGGGGGGGGGGGAAGUUACUAUAAACAAUGAUUAAACACUGGAAAGACAAACGUGAAACUGGAGUUUUAAACUGAAAUAUGCUUAAAAAAGGGACUAAAUGCUGAUGUAUGAUAGAUUUUACAGAGCUUUGACUAGAGGACUUCGUUUUUGGUUUAGUACGUUCAGGGGAAACUGGGGAUUUUAGUGAGUUUAGAAAAAGAAAAAAAACUAGCCUUUCAUCAAAGUUACAUGAUACAUUAGCUGUUUUAAUAUUUUAAUUAUUUAAUGCAGUCAAUGUUUUUAGAUGAGUAGGCAGUCAUUUUCUGUAAUGGCAAAUUGUCCUAUUGUAGGCUACUGUGCAAUAUAUAUUCAUAGACCUUUUUAGAUGUGGGAAAGGAAUUUGUGAAUUUGGUUAUUUUAAUAAAUUGUUUUCACUGUAUAUGAAAUGGAGUGCCAUAUCAAUGGUUCACAUCAAACAAAUAUCUGUAGAAAGCAUUAGUGAUUUGCUCUGACUGAAAUCAGUUUUGUUUUCCAUGGAAUAAAAUCCUAUUAUUCACCUCA